GUGCUGCAUGGCUGUCCUCCGCUCGUGUCGUGAGAUGUUGGGUUAAGUCCCGCAACGAGCGCAACCCUUGUCCUUAUUUGCCAUCACUUAAUGGGGGGAACUCUAAAGAAACCGCCGGUGACAAACCAGAAGAAGGGGGGGAUGACCUCAAGUCCUCGUGGCCCUUAUGGCCGGGGCUACACACGUACUACAAUGGUGGGGACAGAGGGUUGCAACCCCGCGAGGGGGAGCCAAUCCCAAAAACCCCAUCUCACUCCGGAUUGGAGUCUGCAACUCCACUCCGUGAAGUCGGAAUCGCUAGUAAUCGCAAAUCAGCAUUGCCGCGGAAAAAACUUCCCGGGUUUUUGAACCCCCGGAAA
rnacentral:rRNA from 1 species